ACAGUGUCGGGUAACAAGGACAUCUCUGUCUUUGCAGAAAAUAAGCACAUGGAGGAAAACAGUUUGGACUGUUUUAAGAGGAAAUUGUCCCCCUGGCUGUCCAUUUCUUGCAAAGCCUGGCAGAGAUCGCUCUUGAAGUGACCAGCGUGAGUUCCUUGACGAAUCAGCAUGGGACUGGAGGACAGUGAUCUACCAAGUAACAUGCGAAGUCUAGUGCAAAGUCUCCCAGGGUGCUGGAAUUACCAGUGGGUGCCACCAUACCUAGCCCAAUCCGGGCUUUACAGAAUCCACAGACAUGGUUGUUCUGGCUCCAGAUCUUAGGAGUACACAGCAGGAACUGUACAUAAUGCUGCAAACAGGGUCUGGAAGAACGAACAGGCUUUCUCCACGGGGACAAAGAGGCACAAGUCACGGGGGAGAAGUAACAGCAGGAGUGAAGAUAAACCGUGGAAGUUCCUAAGUGUUUGGAAAAUGGGGAGACCUCUUGUUCUUCAAGAGAAGAGGCAGAUGGGUCGCAGGAGACCUGGGUGAUGACAGAAGCAGCAAUAAUGGUUGGAAGCACAUUUGGAGAGAAG
rnacentral:lncRNA from 1 species